UUACCAUCUACCACCGGUCCACCACCAUAAUUUCUGCCGUUCAAUCCCGUUUACUCCAGUUGCCAAAUUAGUGUUCUUCUUCAACCUAAUCUCUAUUGGUUUUUCAUACGUUACGGAACAAAAAAUUCCUCAUCAACAGGUCCAUUAUUUCUGCUAAUAAAUUCCUAGAAAUGUUAAAAACAGGUGAUCUUCCGAGGAUUCUCAGUUUCCUUAUAAACCGUACUCUUUACACUGUCAAUGAUUUUGUAGGUAAAGGACGUAUUGAGAAACCAUUCAUCUCAGGAAAAUCAUUUACAUCAACACUGAACUACUAUGUGUGAAGCUCAUUUGUGCAGGUCUUUAAUAUAUGGCUUUGCAUUUUCAUUUUUUCAGUAUUAUUUGGUGUUUGGAAAAUGGGUUGCCAAUGUUAGAGAAACUAAUCAAUAGGAUCCUUCAUGUAAUUUGCAAUACACAAUUAUACAUUGUGAUGGAUACAGAGACUUUUGCUUCGGGUUGCUUCUUAUCAUCAGUGAGUUCCUAAGUUUUAUCAAUGGGGGUAUCAACAAAUCCAUGAAAGUAAUCUACGUAUGUACUAAUAGUCCUCAUUUUGUAAUGUUGAGUGUUUAUCAGAUAUUCGUAGUGGGUGUUUUGCAGGUAAUCAACAUUUGUACGGCUGUAGGAAGCUUGAUUGUUUCUGACGCUGAUUACCUUGGAGGUUCAAGCUAUGAGUUUCAAUUUUCAAAUUUAUACAAUCGAAAUGCCAUGAAAUUUCAUUAUCAUUCACAGAACAGAUAUAUACAUUCUCCAAAUUUCAAGUAAUACACGUCCCCUAAUUGCUAGGCGUGCAAGGGAGUUAUCCCCUGUAUUACGGGCAUGCACAUUGCAAUGAAGAAGAAGCUGAAAGAGAAGAGAAACUAACAAAUUGAUAAAUGAUUAUGCUUUUCAUAAGUUUGGAUAAAUGCUCUUCUUGAUUCUCACCGACUAUUCCAUCCUCAUAUUCUUCUUCUUUUACCUGUUGAUCGCUGUAGCUGUGGUGGGAUGAUAUUUAGUGACGGCAAAGCUUAUAAAAUUAUUGUGGUGAUAGAAUAGUCGGUGAGAAUCAAGAACAAAAGUCUCCGAAACCAUUUACGUCAAGAGCAAUUCCAUAGAGAGGGUUCUCAAGAGGUCCAUCAUAUCUCGAGCAUCAAAGAUCUACUGAACCUCCUAUGAUGGCACUCACAGAAUCGAGCUAAACCAAACACGUUUGAAUUCUCUUUGAUGUCUUUACAUGUCUGUUUUUAAUAGAUGGUGGAAAUAGGAAGGCAUGACUAAACUUAAAAGUGACCAUUCCAAUAGGAGGAAGUGAACAGAUCGUAAGGGCUUCUAUUAGGAGCUCUUCCCUGUGGAGCCAAUGUGAAGUCCUUAGAUUUAUGCGAAACUAUGAGGCUGGGAAAUGAGGAUCCAGAAAAUGUGGAAUUCGAGUUCUUGCUUAAGCUUGUUCAAAUGGUUUCCGAGAUUCGCACCACCUACAAAACUUUCAAACAUAUAGGGGAGGUUGAAGAAGGUAAACCCUGGAUGAUUUUUCAAAAGCGGAACAAAUUAGAUUUCAUGGGGAUUAAUGAUGUCACCAUCUUAGAUGUGUUAAUGCUCGAUGAUAAUCCCACCCAAUCAAAAAAUCCACUGGCGAUUUAGUUAACAGGUAUUCCAAAGUCUGGCUAACAGGUAUUCGAAUGAUGUUCACUAGCAACAGUAGGGUAUGAUAAAAAUUAGGUAUAUUUUUGGGCAUAUUUAGUUAAUUAAACUGUUAAGUGAAGUCUAUUAAUCUUCCAUGGUUGAAAAUUAGUUCAUAAGCCUGUCAAAAAGAUUUUGUAGGAAAAUUCACAGGCUGCUUACAAAUCAUGCUGGCAUUCGAACACAAUUAUAUAUAUAUCUCUGUCCAAGAUUAACA